GACGAACGCUGGCGGCGUGCUUAACACAUGCAAGUCGAACGGAAAGGCCCUGCUUUUGUGGGGUGCUCGAGUGGCGAACGGGUGAGUAACACGUGAGUAACCUGCCCUUGACUUUGGGAUAACUUCAGGAAACUAGGGCUAAUACCGGAUAGGAGCUCCUGCUGCAUGGUGGGGGUUGGAAAGUUUCGGCGGUUGGGGAUGGACUCGCGGCUUAUCAGCUUGUUGGUGGGGUAGUGGCUUACCAAGGCUUUGACGGGUAGCCGGCCUGAGAGGGUGACCGGCCACAUUGGGACUGAGAUAAGGCCCAGACUCCUACGGGAGGCAGCAGUGGGGAAUAUUGCACAAUGGGCGGAAGCCUGAUGCAGAAACGCCGCGUGCGGGAUGACGGCCUUCGGGUUGUAAACCGCUUUCGCCUGUGACGAAGCGUGAGUGACGGUAAUGGGUAAAGAAGCACCGGCUAACUACGUG
rnacentral:rRNA from 1 species